UGAGUGCAUAGUUGAUGGUCUGGUGAUAUUCCUUGCACCACCCAUCCAUACUUGUUUGUUUUGUGAUAUGGAAACCUGGGAAUACCAGAAUUAUUCCAUUGGAGUGUGUUGUGAUGGAUUUGAUCCGUAGGACUCAAUUUCUUGUUUCGUUGUUUCCGGUUGAUCCGUUGCCCCGUUCGUAACGUUCUUUAUAUGUUUUUGCAUCGUUUUCGCGUGACACAUUUGUUCAUGUCAUUCUCAUGCAUUUCUAGGUAGCUUAGAGUGAAGUUCUGUCCAGGAACUUGUAUUUUCUUCUCAGGCAUGUGCAGGUGACUAGAAUAGAGAUGCAUGUUCAUUUUCAUCUCAUGCAUCAUGUGCUUGUUGCAGCUUGUGGUGAUGUUGUUCAUUGGAUGCUAUUUUUUAUGUUGGGUAGCACUGGGAUCGGAGAACGAGUACGUGGAUCUGAGAGAGUACGUGCAGGACGAACAAGAGCAGUUCCAAGCUGAGGACAUCAUAUGCAAGAUGAUAUGACCUUGGUUCCAUCUCUAGACUUGUUAUGCUAGAUUCACGUUUCUUUCAUCAUACGCUCGCUGCCUACCACUGAAAUAAUUGCCUCCUGAUAUUGCCAUGAAACCCAAACACUUAUCCCUUCCUAGCAAAUCUUGAAUGGCUAAGUGGGCUUUGUCAGCUACUAAUGUUAGCGUUGCUAGUUGCAGGUGCAUUUGUCUCAUGUGAUAACAUGACCUUGAUAUGAUUAUGUUAAAUCUGGUAUUUAAUUAAUGCACCUAUAUACUUGGUAAAUAACGGAAGGCCUAGCCUUUUGCCGGGUGUUUUUCCGUUAUUGCCGCCACAGUUUCCGG
rnacentral:lncRNA from 1 species